GAUCCUGGCUCAGGAUGAACGCUAGCUACAGGCUUAACACAUGCAAGUCGAGGGGCAUCAGGAAGAAAGCUUGCUUUCUUUGCUGGCGACCGGCGCACGGGUGAGUAACACGUAUCCAACCUGCCCUUUACUCGGGGAUAGGCCUUUCGAAAGAAAGAUUAAUACCCGAUGGCAUAAUGAUUCCGCAUGGUUUCAUUAUUAAAGGAUUCCGGUAAAGGAUGGGGAUGCGUUCCAUUAGGUUGUUGGUNAGGG
rnacentral:rRNA from 1 species